CUUCCUGACCUACCUACGCCAUGUUGCCUGUUUCUUUACUGUACAUGUGCUGACGAAGAAAAGGGAAGAUGGAGCCUCCAUGUUGAACAUGCCUGGCCCUCAGCAUUCCUCCUUCUGGAACUAAGACCUCUAGGCCAGCAGAAUGUAAUGUCAUGGGAAGAGGAAGCAAAAAUUUUGCUCGUGGAUCACUAGAGGUGAUGAUUGAUUUCUUCUGAAAAAAUAUAUUCCUGAAAUUAAAACUGAGAAAUCCUGAUUGAAAGAGAGUGGGUUUUCUUGUCUACUCAAUAUAAUGGGAAUAUUAGCCUU